UACAGAGGGUGCGAGCGUUGUUCGGAAUUAUUGGGCGUAAAGCGCUUGUAGGUGGCUUGUUAAGUCCUGUGUGAAAGCCCUUGGCUUAACCAAGGAAGUGCGCAGGAAACUGGCGAGCUUGAGUGCCGGAGAGGGUCGCGGAAUUCCCGGUGUAGAGGUGAAAUUCGUAGAUAUCGGGAGGAACACCAGUGGCGAAGGCGGCGACCUGGACGGACACUGACACUGAGACGCGAAAGCGUGGGGAG
rnacentral:rRNA from 1 species